CUGCGGAAGGAUCAUUAUCGAAUAUAAACUUGGGUAGACUGUUGCUGGCUUCUCUUCGAGGAGCAUGUGCACGUUUAUCCUCUUUAUUUUUCCACCUGUGCACCUUUUGUAGGCUUGGAUUAUUAGUGGUUCUAACGUGUCUUUCAAAGGCGCAUAAGAAUUGUUUUGGGACUGCUGUGUUUAAACGCGCAUUGUUUAUCAGCUUUCCCUUUUAUUUUCCAAGUCUAUGUUUGUUAUAUACACUCCAGAAAUGUAAUAGAAUGCUGUACUUUUAGGUCAUUCGUACCUAUAAUAAAUCAGUACAACUUUCAGCAACGGAUCUCUUGGCUCUCGCAUCGAUGAAGAACGCAGCGAAAUGCGAUAAGUAAUGUGAAUUGCAGAAUUCAGUGAAUCAUCGAAUCUUUGAACGCACCUUGCGCUCCUUGGUAUUCCAAGGAGCAUGCCUGUUUGAGUAUCAUUAAAUUAUCAACUGUGCCAAUUUGGUUACAGAUUGGAUGUGGGAGAUUUUUUGCAGGCUUUUGAUUUCUCUUUGAGAAAAACAAGGUCUGCUCUCCUGAAAUGUAUUAGCAGUGCCUUUGUUGGUUCAUUAGGUGUGAUAAUUUAUCUACAUCUUCAUAUGGUACCUUCAUUUGUAAAGGUCGUACUGCUUCUAAUUGUCUUGGACAAAAAAAACAUAUAAUGUAUGACAA
rnacentral:rRNA from 1 species